rnacentral:rRNA from 1 species
AGAGUUUGAUCCUGGCUCAGGAUGAACGCUAGCGGCAGGCCUAAUACAUGCAAGUCGAACGGCAGCAUAGUGUAGCAAUACAUUGAUGGCGAGUGGCGCACGGGUGCGUAACACGUAUGUAACCUACCGGGUACUGUGGACUAUCCCCCGGAAACGGGGACUAAUUCCACAUAAGAUGAUUGAGUGGCAUCACUUAAUCAAGAAAGAUUUAUCGGUACCUGAUGGACAUGCGUCUGAUUAGCUAGUUGGCGAGGUAAAGGCUCACCAAGGCGACGAUCAGUAGCUGGUCUGAGAGGAUGAUCAGCCACACUGGCACUGAGACACGGGCCAGACUCCUACGGGAGGCAGCAGUAGGGAAUAUUGGACAAUGGGGGCAACCCUGAUCCAGCCAUGCCGCGUGAAGGAAGAAGGCCCUCUGGGUUGUAAACUUCUUUUAACUGGGGAUAAACCCUCACUAUAUGUGGGGCUGAAGGUACCAGUAGAAUAAGCACCGGCUAACUCCGUGCCAGCAGCCGCGGUAAUACGGAGGGUGCAAGCGUUGUCCGGAUUCAUUGGGUUUAAAGGGUGCGUAGGCGGGCAUAUAAGUCAGUGGUGAAAUUCUGGGGCUCAACUUCAGAUGUGCCAUUGAUACUGUAAGUCUUGAGACGAGUCGAGGUAGCUGGAAUGUGUAGUGUAGCGGUGAAAUGCACAGAUAUUACACAGAACACCAAUUGCGAAGGCAAGUUACUAGGCUCGGACUGACGCUGAGGCACGAAAGUGUGGGGAGCAAACAGGAUUAGAUACCCUGGUAGUCCACACUGUAAACGAUGGUUACUAGAUGUUCGGGUUUUGACCUGAGUGUCCAAGCGAAAGCGAUAAGUAACCCACCUGGGGAGUACGACCGCAAGGUUGAAACUCAAAGGAAUUGACGGGGGCCCGCACAAGCGGUGGAGCAUGUGGUUUAAUUCGAUGGUACGCGAGGAACCUUACCUGGGCUAGAAUGCGCGUGACGUUACGAGAAAUCGUAAUUCCCUUCGGGGCACAAAGCAAGGUGCUGCAUGGCUGUCGUCAGCUCGUGCCGUGAGGUGUUGGGUUAAGUCCCGCAACGAGCGCAACCCCUAUUCCUAGUUGCCAACGGGUCAAGCCGGGGACUCUAGGGAGACUGCCUGCGCAAGCAGUGAGGAAGGUGGGGACGACGUCAAGUCAUCAUGGCCCUUACGCCCAGGGCUACACACGUGCUACAAUGGACGGUACAGAGGGUCGCAAGCCUGCGAAGGCGAGCUAAUCUCAAAAAGCCGUUCUCAGUUCGGAUUGGAGUCUGCAACUCGACUCCAUGAAGCUGGAAUCGCUAGUAAUCGCGCAUCAGCAAUGGCGCGGUGAAUACGUUCCCGGGCCUUGUACACACCGCCCGUCAAGCCAUGGGAGCUGAGGGUACCUAAAGCCGGCCACGCCGUCUAGGGUAAAAUCAGUGACUGGGGCUAAGUCGUAACAAGGUAGCCGUACCGGAGGUGCGGCUG